GACAAGGCGGGGCGGGGAGUCGCGGUCAUACUGAGGGGCCGGAGGUUGGGCGGAAUGAGUGGGCGUAAAGAGCUCGUAGGUGGGUGGGCGCGUGUUUCGUGAAAAGUCACAGCUUAACUGUGGGCGGGCGGGCGAUACGGGCAGACUAGAGUACUGCAGGGGAGACUGGAAGUCCUGGUGUAGCGGUGGAAUGCGCAGAUAUCAGGAGGAACACCGGUGGCGAAGGCGGGUCUCUGGGCAGUAACUGACGCUGAGGAGCGAAAGCGUGGGGAGCGAACAGGAUUAGAUACCCUGGUAGUC
rnacentral:rRNA from 1 species